UCUCCGUUGGUGAACCAGCGAAGGGAUCAUUACAGGACUCGCAAGACUCCUACAACCCUGUGAACCUAACUAUAAGCACGUUGCUUCGGCGGGUGUCUCGGAGGGGGUUCUCCCUCCCCGAGACGCUAAACCCGCCGGCAGCCUACUAUACUCUGUCUCUUUGCGUUGGCAUCUCGAGUACAAUCAAACAAGUUAAAACUUUCAACAACGGAUCUCUUGGUUCUG
rnacentral:misc_RNA from 1 species